ACAGAUCAAUAGAACAGAAUAGAGAGGCCAGAUAUAAACCCUGGCAUUUAUGGUCAAUUAAUCUAUGACAAAGGGGCAAUGAUAUACACUUCUAUAAGUGGUACUGCAAACAUCGGACAGCUACAUGUAAAAGAAUGAAAUUAGAACAUUCUCUAACAUAUACAAAAAGAAUCUCAAAAUAAAUUAAAGGUCUAAAAAUAAGACUGAAAAGAAUACAACUAUGAGAAGAAAACACAGGCAAAAAACACUCUGUUCUAAAUCUUAGCAAUAUUUUCUUUUGCAUCUGUCUCCUAAAGGAAAGGAAAUAAAGCAAAAAUAAACAAAUGGUACCUAGUGAAACUUAAAAUCUUUUGCACAGAAGAAGAAACUAUGGACAAAACAAAAAGAUUACCUACUGAAUGGGAGAAAAUAUUUGCAAAUUAUGCUGCUGAUAAGAGGUUAAUAUCCAAAAUAUAUAGACAGCUCAUAUGUCCCUACAUCAAAAAACAAACAACCCAAUUUAAAAAUGGGCAUAAUAUUUGAAUAGACAUUUUUCCAAAGAAGACUUAAUGAUGGCCAACAAGCACAUGAAAAGAUGCUCAACAUCAUUAAUGAUCAGAGAAUUGCCAAUUAAACUAGAAUAAGAUAUCACACCACAUCUCUCAGAAUAGCAGUCAUAAAAAGACUGUGAAUAACAGAUAUUGGUGAAUAUAUGAAUGGAUAAAGAAGAUAUAUAUAUAUAUAUAUAGGAAUACUACUCAGCCAUAAACAGAAUGACAUUUUGCCAUUUGCAAAAAUGAUGGAUGGACUUGGAAAGUAUUAUGCUAAGUGAAAUAAGUCAGAGAGAGAAAUAAAAAUCCUGUAUUUGUGGAAUCUAAAAAAAUAACAUGUGAGUAUAACAAAAAAGAAGCAGACACAGAUAUAGAGAACAAACUAGUGAUUACCAGUGAGGAGACAAAAGGACAAAAGGAGGGAGGAGUAAGGGUAGAGGAUCAAGAGGAUAAACUCUACAAUGAAUUUCUCGAUUUUCAUACUGAGUGAAGUAAGUCAGACAGAGAAAGACAAAUAUCAUAUGAUUUAAUUAUAUAUACAAUCUAAUAAAAAUGAUACAAAAGAACUACUUAUAAAACAGAAAAGAAAACUCACAGAUUGAAAAACGAAUUUUAUGAUUACCAUAGGUGAAACCCUUGUGGGGAGGGAAGAAUUGGGAGGUGGGAAUAACAUAUCCACACUACUGUAUAAAAUAGAUGGUUACCAAAAACUGUAUACUGCAGGAAAAUCUACUCAAUAGAUUGUAAUAACCUAUAUGGGAAAAAAGAAUGUAUAUAUAUUUAUAUGUGUGACAAAUUCACUCUUAUGUACCCCUGAAACUAAUUACAACAUUGUAAAUCAACUAUACUCCAAUAAAAUUAAAUUAAAAAAUAAAAUCUACUAUAUAUAAAAUAAAUAGGAUACAUGAAUAUAUUUUACCGCACAGAGACCAUAGCCAACAUUUUAUAAUAACUAUAAAUAUAACACAACCUUCAAAAAUAGUGGAGUAUUUUUUUUAAAUCUGAAACAUAUCAUAUUAUAUGUCAACUGUGAAUCAAUAGAAAAAAUUUUUAAAAAUAAUAAAUUUUUGCUAUUCACAACACAUGGGUGGACUUACUAUGCUUAGUGAAAUAAGUCAGAGAAAGACAAAUACUGUAUGAAAUCACUUAUAUGUGGAAUUUAUAAAACAUAUUAGUGAAUACAACAGAAAUGUAAUGGACUCUCAGAUACAGAAAACAAAGUAGUGGUUCCUAAUGGAGAGAGGGAAGGGGAAAGGGUAAAAUAAAGGAAGGGGAAUAAGAGGUACAAACAAUUAUAUACAUAAAAAAUCAGCUACAAAGACACAUUGUACAGCAUAGAGAAUACAAUGAAUAUUUUAUACAAAACUAUAAAUGGAUUAUAACAUCUAAAAACUCUGGGUCACUCUGUCGAAUACCUGACACUUAUAAUAUUGUACAUGAACUACCCCUCAAUAAAAAAAAGAAAUUUGUUGAAUUAGUUGAAAAAUGUUUUGGACUUAUCUCAGAAUAUGCACUGGCUUGGACUAAAAUCUAUCAAAAAAAGAAAAAAACUUGAUCAUCAUUGCCUCUUUAUCCUUAGAAGGUACUUUGUGAUGUCCUUGUUUUAAGAUGACAGAUCUCUUAAAUAUUACAUUGGUCAUGUUCUUGUUUCCCUUACUUUUUUAGAAAUUAGAAAUUAAUUACUUGUCCUAUUUAAGCAAAGGUUUUGAUUAAUUUUUUUCAUUAAUUACAUCCAUCAUUACACUGCUGAUAUACAACCUAAUUCAUAUUUCUUAUGAAUUUAGAAAUCUGUUGACAUCCACUGGAUCUGUAGCAUUGUAGGUGCUAUCUUAAUUAUUUUAAAGAUUCUUAAAACACUUACUAUGUAAUAGGAGCAAUGCCACAUGUACUAUAGUCCCUAAACUCAAUUAUUUUUGGUCUGAUAUGGAAAUCAGAUGGGCAAAGAAAUAAAAUGCAACAUGAAAUGGUCAGCAUUGUGAACAAUUAGGUAAUGGAGACAGAAACUCCUCAGCCAACUCCCCUAUUUUCAUCGUGUUGCUUACAAAUUUGAAUCACCAAGAAAACCUUUAAUGAAUUUUAUUUGCAGAAUGACUUCUUGAGCACUGGCUUUACAAAAGGCAAAGGAUGGUAAAACUGGGGGGAGGCAGGAAACUGCUUUGCUAAUGACUCACUUCUAUCUGUAUCAGAAUCUUAAAAUCAUCAUACAGAUGCUGUUGGGGAUAAUGGUAGAAGUGAAAUUGCAAGAAGGCCAGAAUAUUGCAUCACUUCAGCUUUUGGCAUGUGACAUAGAUAAUGCUGAAACAUGACUUCGUAGAAUCUGAACAGUAAAUUUUUUUCUAAAGUAAAAAUUUAGCCAUCAGAAUGUAAAUGGCAACUUGUAAAAACCAAACCAAACCAAACCAAAACAGAUGCUAUUUUGGAACUGGAGUUAAUAUGCCCAAUGUCAGGUGAAGUCUAAGAGCAAAUCUUUUGCUGACUAUGCAUUGGCAAAUGACAAUCUAUUAGGCAAAUUUCAAAGGAUGAAUCUUUGAAUGCAAUGUGGCGAUUAAAAGCAUGGUCUUUAUUUGCCUCUUUUUAAAGGAUUUGUGUUGAAUAAUUGAAAACCAUAGUAACAAUAUUGAAUUAGUUCUUGCAAUUUUUCUACUCAGAGAUUUUCCUUGGAAAUAGUGUGUAUUCAUUACUACAUAUUCAGGAAGAAAAUAUAAGUGGUCCAAAAAAGGAAACAAAUGUUUCCUUUAUUGGGGAGAAAAUCUGCCAGCUAUAGUUGUAUGGAUACUUUGAAGAUCACUAGACUCAGUUGGACUUCAGCAAAGAAUGUGAGCUUGUGAAUCUUUAGGUUUCACUAGCCACCUGCCUCCAGGCACGCUUCAUUACUAAAGUCCUUGGGAGAGUGGACCAGAUAAAUGUGUACUUUACACCAAGUGCAUUAAUAUAAAAUCAGUUCAAAUUGUGAAAUUAAAAUUGAGAGAACAUUUAGAAUCUAAAACCAUUUAAUUGCAGGCAAAACUCAAUUCUAGUCAGAGAAGAUGGAAACUGAAAACAGUCUUUAUAUUUUUUUAAAAAAAUGGAGAUUUGUUUCCUGUUUGAAGGAGACACAAUGUAUUAAAUGAAUGACAAGUUUUCUUUGGUUAGACUAGGAACAAAGAAAACAGCUAUGAGAGAAAUCAUUGAUGUGGUUAUAUUUGCAAAUAACACUCAAAGCAAUGAGAGACAAACAUUUAGGUGCAGUGUAAUACUUGAAAUUGUCUGCAAGGCAAGAUUAAAAAAUGGUUACAGAGGGAACAGAGGGAAAUAUUAGGGCCUACAGUGAUCUAGGUGACAGAGUUCCUCAUUAAUUUAAGAUUCAUAAAAAGAUAUAAUAAAACAGCAGGAGACCAUACUGUUUGAUGACAAAUAUGAGCUUGAUCUCUAACAAAGUUUCUAUAAGUUAGUUCAACAUCAUUGAAUGGGAUGAAGCCCUUUAUGGGGAAGCCAGGAUCCUUGAAGCCCACAUCAUUUUUCUCUCUAGAGUAAUUCCCCCUUUAGCCAUGGAGGAUAUAUUCCAAGACCUCCAGGUAAUGCCUGGAAACCUGUAUAGUACUGAAUCUUAUAUACAGAAUGAUUUUUCUUAUGCAUACAUACCUAUGAUAAAGUUUAACUUAUAAAUUAGGGGCAGUAAGAGAGUAUUCAAAUUGCCGACAUCCCUACUUUUGUCUUUGGGGCCGUGAUUAAAUAAAAUAGAGGUGACUUGAACAAAAGCACUGUAAUAAUUUGGGCAGUUUAUCUGAUAACUGGGAUGACUAACAGGUGGACUGUGUGGGACAAAGGGAUGAUUCGUGUCCCUAGCAGGGGGGAGCAGGAUGACAGAUUUAAUCAACACCUCAGGAUGGUGCCCUAUUUAAAAUUUAUGAAUUGCUUAUUUCCAGAAAUUUCCAUUUAAUAUUUUCUGGCUGAGGUUGACCAUGGAUAACUAAAAUUGCAGGGAACUAAAACCAAGGAAAGGAAAACCACAGGUGAGUGUGGACUACUGUAGUGAUGAAAAUAGAAGUGGAUUUAUACUCCUGCCAUCCUAGAUGAUUAUAGCCUAGCAGGGGAAUCCCAUCCCAUUUCCUAGGUGACCUGACUACGCGGUGAGGGAAAUGGUGAAAUUCAAUUUCGCAGCUCCAACCUAUUGAGGAUGGAAAUGCCAAGCAAUAGGUACGGGGUGAGGGAAUCUAGAAUUCUAAAUAUCUGAAUAACCACCUGUUGUUCCUGCAGAAUUAAAGAGGGCUCAGUCAUUUCUAGAAACUUUUAGAUCAUUGCUCCCAAAACAUAGGUCAACAAAGCAUUCUAUACCUUGGAUGGAUCAACUGAAACUUGAUUUAAGAAAUCCCUAGUUGAGGAGU
ensembl:lncRNA